rnacentral:misc_RNA from 1 species
GAAAUGCGAUAAGUAAUGUGAAUUGCAGAAUUCAGUGAAUCAUCGAGUCUUUGAACGCAGAUUGCGCCCCCUGGUAUUCCGGGGGGCAUGCCUGUCCGAGCGUCAUUGCUGCCCUCAAGCACGGCUUGUGUGUUGGGCCCCGUCCCCUCCCCCGGGGACGGGCCCGAAAGGCAGCGGCGGCACCGCGUCCGAUCCUCGAGCGUAUGGGGCUUUGUCACCCGCUCUGUAGGCCCGGCCGGCGCCAGCCGACACCCAACUUUUAUUUCUAAGGUUGACCUCGGAUCAGGUAGGGAUACCCGCUGAACUUAAGC